rnacentral:rRNA from 1 species
CGGGUGAGUAACGCGUGAGGAACCUGCCUCAAAGAGGGGGACAACAGUUGGAAACGACUGCUAAUACCGCAUAAGCCCACGGCUCGGCAUCGAGCAGAGGGAAAAGGAGUGAUCCGCUUUGAGAUGGCCUCGCGUCCGAUUAGCUAGUUGGUGAGGUAACGGCUCACCAAGGCAACGAUACAUAGGGGGACUGAGAGGUUAACCCCCCACACUGGUACUGAGACACGGACCAG